AUACGUAGGUGACAAGCGUUAUCCGGAUUUACUGGGCGUAAAGGGCGUGUAGGCGGUCUUGCAAGUCAGAAGUGAAAUUCCUGAGCUCAACUCGGGCGCUGCUUCUGAAACUGCAGGACUUGAGUGCUGGAGGGGAUAGCGGAAUUCCUAGUGGAGCGGUAAAAUGCGCAGAUAUUAGGAAGAACACCGGUGGCGAAGGCGGCUAUCUGGACAGUAACUGGCGCUGAGGCGCGAAAGCGUGGGGAGCAAACAGGAUUAGAUACCCCGGUAGUCCUGGCAGUAAACGAUGUAUGCUGGGUGUGAGACUAGCGAUAGUUUCGUGCCGAAGUUAACGCGAUAAGCAUACCGCCUGGGGAGUACGGUCGCAAGAUUGAAACUUAAAGGAAUUGACGGGG
rnacentral:rRNA from 1 species